rnacentral:rRNA from 1 species
GACGAACCACCCAAACGUUAUUCGGAAUUACUGGGCUUAAAAGAGUGCGUAGGCGGUCAUGUAAGUAGGGUGUGAAAUCCCACAGCUCAACUGUGGAACUGCGCUCUAAACUACAUGACUAGAGGGAUAUAGAGGUGAGCCAGAACUGAUGGUGGAGCGGUGAAAUGCGUUGAUAUCAUCAGGAAUACCGGAGGCGAAGGCGGCUCACUGGGUAUCUUCUGACGCUUGAGGUACGAAAAGCUAGGGGGGAGCGAACGGGGA